AGCGUGUAGAGUGUCGAUCAGAAGAUACAAUCGCUAUUUUAAGCAGUAUCUAACAUAUUAUUCAAUUUAAGAUCGUCCAAGAAGAAAAAUGAUGAUCUUCCACACUGAUAUACUCACGGCUUCCACACUGAUAUAUUCACGGCAUCGAAACGGCUGAAAAAGAUGGACUUGCUGGAUAUAGUUCUAGAAUGGAAAUUCUACGAAGAUGCGGCGACAGUAACACUAGAUCGUUUAAAACCUAGGAGGCAAUAAAAUGACAUAUAAAAUUGCCUGUUGGUGGCAGAUUUGUCAUGAUAGAUCUUAUUGCUAUUGUCACUUAAUAUUUCUGUAUUUUUUCAUAUAUCUCUUAUUAUAAAUAAAGUUUGUAUCUAUACGUUAGUGACAAA